UAUGAUUCAGACUUUGAGGAUU
rnacentral:snRNA from 1 species